UCAGCAAACAAAGACUGCUGCUGUGUCCUAUCCACCGCCUGCUGCACGGGGUGAGGUGUCACUCCAGGACUCUUUGUGUUGAGUCCCCUGUCGAGUAACCAACUGAGGUCUCUGUGGCUGUCUUCAGGCUCUUCAGUCUCAAGGCUGGGCAACUACAAGGCUUGCAAGCCUGCAGGGUGCAGCCCAACAGUAAAGUAAAAUACAUCCUAUCUCUCUAAUGCCUAAGAGAGACAACUCCAAUUCUGUUCAGUCAUAAUAACAUCAAGCGUAAAGUCCAGAAUCUCUGGUAAUCUUCUAUCAGAAAUGAAGCAAGACAUUUGCAUCAGAUCUAGAUAUGGUUCCUGAUGAUCCAGAGACAUGGAGAUGAUCCUGGUGCAGAUGGACUCAAUGCAACCAUGUAAUCAGAGGAGAAGGAAAGAAGAGUCAGAGAGAAGCAGUAGAAGGGAAGGUCAGAGUAACUCUGAGCAUGAGAAAGACACAAACCACCAUUUCUGGCUUUGAAGAAUGGAGGAAGGUGACCACAAGUCAAAGAAAGCAGGCAAAAUGAGAGGGUAAGCCACGAUACCUGGUGUUGCAUCGCCCUUUGGAGCCAAGCUGCCUCUGAGGGGACUCUCCUGAAUGUCACGACUGAGGAGAAGUCCCAGGGAGAGGGGUUGACCCUGCUGUGCUCCUUCAAACCCUAACAUUUCCACUGUGAACAGGCAGUCAGGGUGCAAAUACACUUGUCACCUCGAAUUU